AGCAACAAAUGCCCUGCUUCCAGGAAAAGCCUCUAAGCCUCAGGUAACAUCAAAUCGUACCCCAAACCGACACAGGUGGUCAGGUAGAGAAUACCAAGGCGCUUGAGAGAACUCGGGUGAAGGAACUAGGCAAAAUGGUGCCGUAACUUCGGGAGAAGGCACGCUGACACGUAGGUGAAGUGGUUUACCCAUGGAGCUGAAGUCAGUCGAAGAUACCAGCUGGCUGCAACUGUUUAUUAAAAACACAGCACUGUGCAAACACGAAAGUGGACGUAUACGGUGUGACGCCUGCCCGGUGCCGGAAGGUUAAUUGAUGGGGUCAGCGCAAGCGAAGCUCCUGAUCGAAGCCCCGGUAAACGGCGGCCGUAACUAUAACGGUCCUAAGGUAGCGAAAUUCCUUGUCGGGUAAGUUCCGACCUGCACGAAUGGCGUAAUGAUGGCCAGGCUGUCUCCACCCGGGACUCAGUGAAAUUGAACUCGCUGUGAAGAUGCAGUGUACCCGCGGCAAGACGGAAAGACCCCGUGAACCUUUACUAUAGCUUGACACUGAACACUGGUCCUUGAUGUGCAGGAUAGGUGGGAGGCUUUGAAGUGUGGACGCCAGUCUGCAUGGAGCCAUCCUUGAAAUACCACCCUUUAAUGGCUGGUGUUCUAACGUGGGCCCGUGAACCGGGUUGCGGACAGUGUCUGGUGGGUAGUUUGACUGGGGCGGUCUCCUCCUAAAGAGUAACGGAGGAGCACGAAGGUUGGCUAAUCCUGGUCGGACAUCAGGAGGUUAGUGCAAUGGCAUAAGCCAGCUUGACUGCGAGCGUGACGGCGCGAGCAGGUGCGAAAGCAGGUCAUAGUGAUCCGGUGGUUCUGAAUGGAAGGGCCAUCGCUCAACGGAUAAAAGGUACUCCGGGGAUAACAGGCUGAUACCGCCCAAGAGUUCAUAUCGACGGCGGUGUUUGGCACCUCGAUGUCGGCUCAUCACAUCCUGGGGCUGAAGUAGGUCCCAAGGGUAUGGCUGUUCGCCAUUUAAAGUGGUACGCGAGCUGGGUUUAGAACGUCGUGAGACAGUUCGGUCCCUAUCUGCCGUGGGCGCUGGAAGAUUGAGGGGGGCUGCUCCUAGUACGAGAGGACCGGAGUGGACGCAUCACUGGUGUUCGGGUUGUCAUGCCAAUGGCACUGCCCGGUAGCUACAUGCGGAAGAGAUAAGUGCUGAAAGCAUCUAAGCACGAAACUUGCCCCGAGAUGAAUCUUCCCUGAGCCUUUAAGGCUCCUGAAGGAACGUUGAAGACGACGACGUUGAUAGGCCGGGUGUGUAAGCGCAGCGAUGCGUUGAGCUAACCGGUACUAAUGAACCGUGAGGCUUAACCUUACA
rnacentral:rRNA from 1 species